rnacentral:rRNA from 1 species
AUUGAACGCUGGCGGCAGGCCUAACACAUGCAAGUCGAACGAGUGGCGGACGGGUGAGUAAUGUCUGGGAAACUGCCCGAUGGAGGGGGAUAACUACUGGAAACGGUAGCUAAUACCGCAUAACCUCGGAUGUGCCCAGAUGGGAUUAGCUAGUAGGGGGGGUAACGGCUCACCUAGGCGACGAACCCUAGCUGGUCUGAGAGGAUGACCAGCCACACUGGACAGGUGACACGGUCCAUACUCCUACGGGAGGCAGCAGUGGGUAGUAUGUCACAAUGGGCGCAAGCCUGAUGCAUCCAUGCCGCGUGUAUGAAGAAGGCCUUCGGGUUGUAAAGUACUUUCAGCGAGGAGGCGUUACUCGCAGAAGAAGCACCGGCUAACUCCGUGCCAGCAGCCGCGGUAAUUC